rnacentral:rRNA from 1 species
GGGUUGUGAGGUUAAGCGACUAAGCGUACACGGUGGAUGCCCUGGCAGUCAGAGGCGAUGAAGGGCGUGCUAAUCUGCGAUAAGCGCCGGUAAGGUGAUAUGAACCGUUAUAACCGGCGAUACCCGAAUGGGGAAACCCAGUGUGACUCGUCACACUAUCAUUAACUGAAUCCAUAGGUUAAUGAGGCGAACCGGGGGAACUGAAACAUCUAAGUACCCCGAGGAAAAGAAAUCAACCGAGAUUCCCCCAGUAGCGGCGAGCGAACGGGGAGGAGCCCAGAGCCUGAAUCAGCAUGUGUGUUAGUGGAAGCGUCUGGAAAGACGCGCGAUACAGGGUGACAGCCCCGUACACAAAAGCGCAUGUGCUGUGAGCUCGAUGAGUAGGGCGGGACACGUGGUAUCCUGUCUGAAUAUGGGGGGACCAUCCUCCAAGGCUAAAUACUCCUGACUGACCGAUAGUGAACCAGUACCGUGAGGGAAAGGCGAAAAGAACCCCGGCGAGGGGAGUGAAAAAGAACCUGAAACCGUGUACGUACAAGCAGUGGGAGCCCCACCACCAAAGCAUUCUCUGGUGUUGAAGGCCCUGCAAAGCAGCAUCGCGGUGGCGGAGCGUCGUUUGCGACGCCCAACACACAAAACAAGCGGUGAGUGCUUUGGGGUGGGGUGACUGCGUACCUUUUGUAUAAUGGGUCAGCGACUUAUAUUCUGUAGCAAGGUUAACCGAAUAGGGGAGCCGGAGGGAAACCGAGUCUUAAUUGGGCGUUAAGUUGCAGGGUAUAGACCCGAAACCCGGUGAUCUAGCCAUGGGCAGGUUGAAGGUUGGGUAACACUAACUGGAGGACCGAACCGACUAAUGUUGAAAAAUUAGCGGAUGACCUGUGGCUGGGGGUGAAAGGCCAAUCAAACCGGGAGAUAGCUGGUUCUCCCCGAAAGCUAUUUAGGUAGCGCCUCGUGAAUUCAUCUCCGGGGGUAGAGCACUGUUUCGGCUAGGGGGCCAUCCCGGCUUACCAACCCGAUGCAAACUGCGAAUACCGGAGAAUGUUAUCACGGGAGACACACGGCGGGUGCUAACGUCCGUCGUGAAGAGGGAAACAACCCAGACCGCCAGCUAAGGUCCCAAAGUCAUGGUUAAGUGGGAAACGAUGUGGGAAGGCCCAGACAGCCAGGAUGUUGGCUUAGAAGCAGCCAUCAUUUAAAGAAAGCGUAAUAGCUCACUGGUCGAGUCGGCCUGCGCGGAAGAUGUAACGGGGCUAAACCAUGCACCGAAGCUGCGGCAGCGAACGUAUCACUUAAAGCGAUUCAGCGGGUUACGAUUGACGGAGCGAAGCGACGUCAAAGCGUAUACAAAGUCGAGUCGGUUUAAGGAUACGUUCGUUGGGUAGGGGAGCGUUCUGUAAGCCUGUGAAGGUGGCCUGUGAGGGUUGCUGGAGGUAUCAGAAGUGCGAAUGCUGACAUAAGUAACGAUAAAGCGGGUGAAAAGCCCGCUCGCCGGAAGACCAAGGGUUCCUGUCCAACGUUAAUCGGGGCAGGGUGAGUCGACCCCUAAGGCGAGGCCGAAAGGCGUAGUCGAUGGGAAACGGGUUAAUAUUCCCGUACUUGGUGUUACUGCGAAGGGGGGACGGAGAAGGCUAUGUUGGCCGGGCGACGGUUGUCCCGGUUUAAGCGUGUAGGUGUGUGUUCCAGGUAAAUCCGGUUCACUUUAACACUGAGGCGUGAUGACGAGGCACUACGGUGCUGAAGCAACAAAUGCCCUGCUUCCAGGAAAAGCCUCUAAGCAUCAGGUAACAUCAAAUCGUACCCCAAACCGACACAGGUGGUCAGGUAGAGAAUACCAAGGCGCUUGAGAGAACUCGGGUGAAGGAACUAGGCAAAAUGGUGCCGUAACUUCGGGAGAAGGCACGCUGACACGUAGGUGAAGUGAUUUACUCAUGGAGCUGAAGUCAGUCGAAGAUACCAGCUGGCUGCAACUGUUUAUUAAAAACACAGCACUGUGCAAACACGAAAGUGGACGUAUACGGUGUGACGCCUGCCCGGUGCCGGAAGGUUAAUUGAUGGGGUCAGCGCAAGCGAAGCUCCUGAUCGAAGCCCCGGUAAACGGCGGCCGUAACUAUAACGGUCCUAAGGUAGCGAAAUUCCUUGUCGGGUAAGUUCCGACCUGCACGAAUGGCGUAAUGAUGGCCAGGCUGUCUCCACCCGAGACUCAGUGAAAUUGAACUCGCUGUGAAGAUGCAGUGUACCCGCGGCAAGACGGAAAGACCCCGUGAACCUUUACUAUAGCUUGACACUGAACAUUGAGCCUUGAUGUGUAGGAUAGGUGGGAGGCUUUGAAGUGUGGACGCCAGUCUGCAUGGAGCCGACCUUGAAAUACCACCCUUUAAUGUUUGAUGUUCUAACGUGGACCCGUGAUCCGGGUUGCGGACAGUGUCUGGUGGGUAGUUUGACUGGGGCGGUCUCCUCCUAAAGAGUAACGGAGGAGCACGAAGGUUGGCUAAUCCUGGUCGGACAUCAGGAGGUUAGUGCAAUGGCAUAAGCCAGCUUGACUGCGAGCGUGACGGCGCGAGCAGGUGCGAAAGCAGGUCAUAGUGAUCCGGUGGUUCUGAAUGGAAGGGCCAUCGCUCAACGGAUAAAAGGUACUCCGGGGAUAACAGGCUGAUACCGCCCAAGAGUUCAUAUCGACGGCGGUGUUUGGCACCUCGAUGUCGGCUCAUCACAUCCUGGGGCUGAAGUAGGUCCCAAGGGUAUGGCUGUUCGCCAUUUAAAGUGGUACGCGAGCUGGGUUUAGAACGUCGUGAGACAGUUCGGUCCCUAUCUGCCGUGGGCGCUGGAGAACUGAGGGGGGCUGCUCCUAGUACGAGAGGACCGGAGUGGACGCAUCACUGGUGUUCGGGUUGUCAUGCCAAUGGCACUGCCCGGUAGCUAAAUGCGGAAGAGAUAAGUGCUGAAAGCAUCUAAGCACGAAACUUGCCCCGAGAUGAGUUCUCCCUGAGACUUAGAGUCUCCUGAAGGAACGUUGAAGACGACGACGUUGAUAGGCCGGGUGUGUAAGCGCAGCGAUGCGUUGAGCUAACCGGUACUAAUGAACCGUGAGGCUUAACCUUACAACGCCGAAG